rnacentral:rRNA from 1 species
ACAUUUAACCUGGGGGUUUUUCUGCCAGUAGUGUAUGCUUCUCCUAAAGACUAAGCCAUGCAUGCCUUCGAAUAGAAGAGCAAGUCUCUCUGAAUCUGCGUACGGCUCCGCAAACCAGUUGUAAACCAUAGCUAGCAGGCCUCGGAGACGACCGCAAGGUCGUAGCUGGGGCCAAAAGGAUAUCCAUGGUAAUUCUGAGGCUAAUACUUGACUGUAACCCCUGGCUGACCGGGCAACUGGUAGGCUGGGGGACGUGUACGGCUUCGCACACCAUUAAGGAAUGAAUGCACGUUCAGACCGCUUUUCAACACAGAUAGGGGGUAAUCCUUCGGGAGAUAACCCCUGCCUGAGCGGCUCUAGCACGGUGCUUCUGACCUAUCAACUAGAUGGCAGCGUAACGGACAUGCUAUGGUGACAACGGGUACAGAGGAUAAGGGUUCGAUCCUGGAGAGUGGGCCUGAGAGAUUGCUCACACUUCUAAGGAAGGCAGCAGGCGCGCAACGUUCCCAUUGGACAAUGUCCGAGGGCGUUAGGGGACAUAUGAAUGUCUGCCUUAUGGUGGACAAUUCAAAUGGGUUUGUUCUAAACAACCUUUCGAGUAACAAUUAAGGGAAACAAGUCAAAAGGGG